AGGACCUAGUCCGAUGGGACCGAAUAGUGACUUAUUCCUCCGCCUGCGUCUCUCUCCGGCUUUAUCCCGACUCCUUCUACCUCCCGAUAACUCGAUAGCCGUGCUCCUCCUUCUUCCCGCCUCAUCGCCUUCCUCAUUGUUACGUCCCGCCUCCAGAACUAUACGAAAUAUUUUUGGCCAAUCGGUCUGCUGGGUGAUAAAGUUCCCCUUCUUAUUGGUGAUACAAAGCCGUUUCCUCUCCUUUUAAGCGGAUAAGAUGGACAUCAAUCCGUUGUCGCAGCCAGCCUGUCCUCGGGAGCCCUCAGACGACUGAGAGGGACCGCCCAAUUCCUAAUCGCUCCUUCAAAUAAUAGAGCUGUCUUGCCCUUUAAAUCUUUCUCCUAGUUAGGGACCAUGUGUCCCAUUUCAAACGGGAAGGUUCAGCUACAAGUUGUAAAUACGUUUGAUAAUGUUAUUGCAAACUUUGUGUCUUGUUAAUUUUAAUUUAAUCCAUGUAUUGUUAAUUUAUGAAUUAUAUGUUUAUCCCACCGUUUUUUCAAGGAACUCAAGGAAGUCUAAAGUAGGUCCUCCACCUACUUUAGACCUUACAACAACCAUAUGGGGUAGGUUGGGCUGAAAGAGCAUGAGUGGUCCAAAGUCACCACACCCAGCCAGGUUCAUAGCUGAGUGGGGAUUUGAACCAACAUCUUUUUGGUCCUAAGCCCUUGGAGGUGGAACACAGCAGCAAGCCCUGUCCUUGUGCUCAUGUGUUCCAUAACCACACACCCUCACUGUCCACAGAUACAGCAUCUGCAUUGAUAAAUGAUAUAGUCAUGGGAAAUGUGGGAUAGGUUACAGAGCAUGUUAGUGAGAUGGCAAGGCAUGCUGGCGCAUUACUAUUGACUCUAUAAACAUGUGUAGUGGUUACAUAAUACCCAAACUAGGGUCUAGUUUAGUCUAUAUGGUUAUAGUGUCAACAGAAAUAUGUCAUUACCCAUAAACAUUUCAUACUUUAUAUACUCUCAUAAGAACUAAAAGUUCCAGAGUUCAUUAGUUCCUGAAGCCAUUUCUUAGGGUGUUUCAGCAGACUGGCUCGAGAAAGAAGCAAGCAUAAUAAACAGAAAUACUGAGAUCUCCUGGAGAGUGGGGGUUUAGUGGUGUUGAUAGAACUUACAGGCCUUGUAUAUAUGCGAAUAAGUGAACUAGGCUUCAGAGUGCACAGAAGAUUCCAAAGGCAGGGAAUAGUACCUUAAGGGCAUUUAUCACAUGCAUAUAAUUAAUAUAAUUGUGUAAAUUGCCAUGUCUGAUACAGAUAAUGCAGCCAGAAACUAAGAAGCAAGAAACCUAAAGAAGCUAAAGGACACAAAUCAAUCCUACAUUUUUUCAAAAGAGACAAGGCCUUUCUACAGUCUUGCUCAAGCAGAGCACAAACUUGGGGAUUAGAUUAACAAAAGUGCAAGCAGUCAAGUUAUAUGUUCUAUUUAUGUUGUUUCAGAAAUAAAACAAUAUUUUUCUUGCA